rnacentral:misc_RNA from 1 species
CAAUCCGAGAAUUUCACCUCUAGCGCCGCAAUACUAAUGCCCCCGUCUGUCCCUCUUAAUCAUUACUUCGGCACCGAAGACCAACAAAAUAGAACCGAAGUCCUAUUCUAUUAUUCCAUGCAUGAUUAUUCGGGCAGUUGCCUGCGUUUAGCACUCUAAUUUGUUCAAAGUAAACGAACGGAUCGCUGAUGACACUCGAUUAAGAGCACACAUCAGACAAAUCCGCAUUUAACUCAGUUAAACGAUAACCACCGUUAAGGUGGACCGCCUAACGUGAGUCGAGAUCCAACUACGAGCUUUUUAACCGCAACAACUUUAGUAUACGCUAUUGGAGCUGGAAUUACCGCG